AUGGUGAAGGCAGCCUCCUGGAUAACACUGACGCUCAUGCACGAGCGUGGGGAGCAAAACAGGAUUAGAUACCCUGGUAGUCCACGCCUCAACUAUGUCAACUAGCUGUUGGGGCCUUCGGGCAUUUGCAGCGCAGCUAACGCGUGAAGUUGACCGCCUGGGGAGUACGGUCGCAAGAUUAAAACUCAAAGGAAUUGACGGGGACCCGUUGUCAAGCGGUGGAUGAUGUGGAUUAAUUCGAUGCAACGCGAAAAAAAACCUUACCUACCCUUGACAUGUCUGGAAUGCCGAAGAGAUUUGGCAGUGCUCGCAAGAGAACCGGAACACAGGUGCUGCAUGGCUGUCGUCAGCUCGUGUCGUGAGAUGUUGGGUUAAGUCCCGCAACGAGCGCAACCCUUGUCAUUAGUUGCUACGAAAGGGCACUCUAAUGAGACUGCCGGUGACAACCGAGGAAGGUGGGGAUGACGUCAAGUCCUCAUGGCCCUUAUGGGUAGGGCUUCACACGUCAUACAAUGGUCGGGACAGAGGGUCGCCAACCCGCGAGGGGAGCCAAUCCCAGAAACCCGAUCGUAGUCCUGGAUCGCAGUCUGCAACUCGACUGCGUGAAGUCGGAAUCGCUAGUAAUCGCGGAUCAGCAUGUCGCGGUGAAUACGUUCCCGGGUCUUGUACACACCGCCCGUCACACCAUGGAGUGGGUUUUACCAGAAGUAGUUAGCUCAACCGCAAGGGGGGGCGACUACCACGGUAGGAUUCAUGACUGGGGUGAAGUCGUAACAAGGUAA
rnacentral:misc_RNA from 1 species